AUGCAAAUAUUUCAAAAGAGGCGUGAGAAGGUGGGCGACAAAAGCUUUGACCCUUUGGUCCUUGAGGAUUUUGAUUGUGGAAAUGAGUGGGUUGACCCAUCACUAUCAGUACCUCAAGGAGCUCGAGGUUGUCCUGAUGACAUUACAUGGGAGGAUGUUGAUGUGGCAAUUGGUGCAUCUUCAAACCUUUGAGGCCGCAAUCUGCCUAGGACAGCUACUGCACUUCAUAUGGGGCAACCAAGUGUCCGUGUGCAACACUACGGACGCAAGAGACCUACAAUAACAUGGCCAACAAUUCCUGAUGAAGAUGGUGAAGAGGACUUGGAGCAAGAGCAACACUCAAGUAUGCCCAAUGUGGAGGAGGAUUUAGAUUAUGUUGUUGUUGAUGAUGAUGUGAGCAAUGACGAUCAAGAUCCAACUAAUGCCGACCAAGAUGAAGACAACACCAAUGCCACCAUGCAUGAGUUUGAUGAUGAUGGAUUUUGA
rnacentral:rRNA from 1 species